GAGGACUUCAGUUGGUCGGCCUAACUGGUCAGAACCGGCCGUCUCUUCCUUGUUUCUGAAUCCCGCCCGGAGUUCAUUCUUCGGGUGUGGACUUCAGAUCGUUUACCUUGAAAAAAUUAGAGUGUUCAAAGCGGGCGUUUGCUUGAAUAUAUUAGCAUGGAAUAAUGGAAUAGGACCCUGGUCCUAUUUUGUUGGUUUUGAGGACUAGAGUAAUGAUUAAUAGGGAUAGUUGGGGGCAUUCAUAUUUAAUUGUCAGAGGUGAAAUUCUUGGAUUUAUGAAAGAUGAACUUCUGCGAAAGCAUUUGCCAAGGAUGUUUUCAUUAAUCAAGAACGAAAGUUAGGGGAUCGAAGACGAUCAGAUACCGUCGUAGUCUUAACCAUAAACUAUGCCGACUAGGGAUUGGGAGCGGUUUGUUCAUUGACCCUCUCAGCACCUUACGAGAAAUCAAAGUUUUUGGGUUCCGGGGGGAGUAUGGUCGCAAGGCUGAAACUUAAAGGAAUUGACGGAGGGGCACCACCAGGAGUGGAGCCUGCGGCUUAAUUUGACUCAACACGGGAAAACUUACCAGGCCCAGACAUAGGAAGGAUUGACAGAUUGAGAGCUCUUUCUUGAUUCUAUGGGUGGGGGUGCAUGGCCGUUCUUAGUUGGGGGAGUGAUUUGUCUGGUUAAUUCCGUUUACGAACGAGACCUUAACCUGCUAAAUAGUUACUACAAUGCUCUGUAUCGGCGGACAACUUCUUA
rnacentral:rRNA from 1 species